UGGUGCUGCCCGACUGCAUACAAGAAAUGUAAAACAUUCCGAGUAGAUCGUCGUCAGUUGGGCUUAACUGCAGUGGCUGCUUGACAUUUGGAUUGGACCUGACCGCAAACGCACAGAAAUCGGAGCUCCUAACACUUUGAAUAGAAUACUGAGAACCUGCAGGGAGCAAUCAUUCAGAUUUUUUCUUUUCUUUUUUUAAUACAGGCAAUGAAAACUAUUGGUGCUAAUUUGAACAAAAUGGAUUCCUUAUGUUUUGAAAGCACAACAUCCAGAGUGGAGUCUCCUUGCUUGUCAUCCCAGAACACAGACAGGCUGCUAAUCACCCCCCGAAGGUGCAGACAGUUGCUCCAGGUUGAAAGCAGAGUGGAUGUGAUGAAUUUUUUGAGGCUUUCCAGGCGUGCUGAUGCCUUUAGUGCAGCGACAUCUAAAGGCGCAGCAACACAUGUGCACAAAAAGGUUUCCGUGUGCCCCGGCUUAGCAGGACGUGCGGAGGGAGGGAGGGCUGGAGCACAGAUUGGACCCCCCAAACCUGAUACAGAUGGAAUCGCAACGGUUAUCAUAACAUCCAUG